rnacentral:rRNA from 1 species
GACGAACGCUGGCGGCGUGCCUAAUACAUGCAAGUCGAACGCAGUGGGGACGGGUGAGUAACACGUGGGUAACCUCCCAUCAGAGGGGAUAACACUUGGAAACAGGUGCUAAACCGAUACUGAUGGAUGGACCCGCGGUGCAUUAGCUAGUUGGUGAGGUAACGGCUCACCAAGGCCACGAUGCAUAGCCGAGCGGAGAGGGAGAUCUGCCACACUGGGACUGAGACACGGCCCAGACUCCUAAGUGAGGCAGCAGUAGGGAAUAUUCGGAAAUGGACGAAAGUCUAACCGGGCAACGCCGCGUGAGUGAAGAAGGUUGUCGAAUCGUAAAACUCUGUUGUUAGAAAAGCGGUAUCUAACCAGAAAGCCACGGCUAACUACGUGCCAGCAGCCGCGGUAAUUC